UCUCCUUCUUGGGUCUCUUCCUUCCUUCUCUCUGGUUUCUCUGUCUCUGCCCCAUCCUUUCACCUGUCUCUUCUCCUUGCUCCUGCUCCCUCUCUCUCUCUCCCCCAGAGCUCUUACUCCCACCAGCCUCCCUCCUCCAAGCCUCCUCUCCUCCACCUCCAGAUGGCCCCUGCCUCCUUGCCCCGUGGGCCUUUGCCUCCCUCUCCCAUUCCUGCCUUGGCUGCUCCCAGGUCCUGACCAGGAGGCAGGAGUUCACACUGAGUCCCAAACAGGAUAGCCCUGAGCAGGCUCCAAGCCUGAGGCCCAGGAGUAGACAGACACCUUUGUGACUCCCAUUCUCUCUCUCUUUUCCAUCUGUCUGGAACCCUGGACGCUACCUGGAGGAAUCAGACCUGCCCAAGGCCCAGGAAGGCGAAAACAAGGAAAACGCUCAGAGACGGGAAGCAACUUGCCUAAAGAUACACAGCAUAUGAGAAAAUCGGUGCCCAGUGUUUCUGAAGAGCAGCAACUGCUAGGACAGGGACUUGGAAGGAACCCGACGAUAGCUGAGGAACCAGCAGUGCUCCCUGAAGGACACGGAGAGAAGCCGCCACAGGAGCCGGCCUGAGGCAUUCCGAGUGCGUGGAAUCUUCUCUCACCACCUACUUGCAAACGAGACACUGACAAUGAUCCCAGCAAAGAACAACGACCAGAAUGCCUGGGGGAGGAACAGGGGAUACUGGGUGAAAGGAGGGGGGAGGGAGAACUUGUAACAUUCUGUAAAAAUGAGUAUUUUUACUCCUAAUCAAUAUAUAAACAUCAUGGUAUGAAACGGCUGCACUUCACACAUUUUCAAGUCACCCUAUGGGUGGGUGGAUUGGCUCCCAUGGAAAUGCAGGUAGGGCUGUAUAUGGCAAACAAAGGAAAAUGGAAAUUUGUUCACACAAACCUGUCUGGGGAGACUGCAUUCCAGGAAAUGGACCAAAUUGAGUUUGUUUCUUUUGUAACAAAGUUGUGCCUUGCUGACUGGAAGGUGGGUACAAGCAAAGGAGGCUGGACUGACA